AUUGAACGCUGGCGGAAUGCUUUACACAUGCAAGUCGAACGGCAGCACGGACUUCGGUCUGGUGGCGAGUGGCGAACGGGUGAGUAAUACGUCGGAACGUGCCCAAUCGUGGGGGAUAACGUAGCGAAAGCUACGCUAAUACCGCAUACGAUCUAAGGAUGAAAGAGGGGGAUCGCAAGACCUUGCGCGAAUGGAGCGGCCGAUGGCAGAUUAGGUAGUUGGUAGGGUAAAGGCCUACCAAGCCGACGAUCUGUAGCUGGUCUGAGAGGAUGAUCAGCCACACUGGGACUGAGACACGGCCCAGACUCCUACGGGAGGCAGCAGUGGGGAAUUUUGGACAAUGGACGCAAGUCUGAUCCAGCCAUUCCGCGUGCAGGAUGAAGGCCCUCGGGUUGUAAACUGCUUUUGUACAGAACGAAAAGGCUCUGGUUAAUACCUGGGGCUCAUGACGGUACUGUAAGAAUAAGCACCGGCUAACUACGUGCCAGCCGCCGCCGUAA
rnacentral:rRNA from 1 species